rnacentral:rRNA from 1 species
UGGUCCUACGGGAGGCAGCAGUGAGGAAUAUUGGUCAAUGGUCGGGAGACUGAACCAGCCAAGCCGCGUGAGGGAUGAAGGUACAGAGUAUCGUAAACCUCUUUUGUCAGGGAACAAAGGCGGGGGCGCGUCCCCGGAUGAGUGUACCUGAAGAAAAAGCAUCGGCUAACUCCGUGCCAGCAGCCGCGGUAAUACGGAGGAUGCGAGCGUUAUCCGGAUUUAUUGGGUUUAAAGGGUGCGCAGGCGGCCUGCUAAGUCUGGAGUGAAAGGUACCGGCUCAACCGGUACAGGCUCUGGAAACUGGG